ACCACCACUCCACACACACACACUCAGACACAUCCACCGCCGCCACCACCACCACCACCACCUCCACCUCCGCCACUGCCGCCGCUGCCCCUGGCUGUGGGCGGGUGGUGCUGUGCUGGCAGCGGCCGACACCACACAACACACCACACAGGAGAACAUUUACGUAGCUCCCUCUAGCCCAUUAGUCGCCCUCACCCCUUUCCUCCCUAUCCCUCGUCCUUGCAUCCUUAUCCCUGCCAUCUCCAUCCCCCCUUCCUCCCCGCACUCCGCGUCAUCUCCAUCACCCACUAUCACCAUCACCUCCAUCAUUUUUGUAUCUUCCGGCUUUUGCUCACCUCGGCGGCGCAGUGGUGGCGGUGAUGCGGCUGGCAGGUGUUUCUAAAUGGAUGGCGUUGCUCAGGUGUGUUCCUACAGGUGGCGGAGGGGGGCGUAAGGUGCGGCGGAGCAAGCAGAUCAUAUAUUUGCGUUCAGGGCGAAAAAAAAAAAACAGUGAAUGUGUGCCGUGUGGGAGUGUAUAGUGCAGGUGAUGAUGGUGAUGAUAAUGUAGAGGUGAUAGAGCCGAAACGGGGGUAAUUUGAAUAUGUGUGAAUAGUGAAGGACUUAGAAGAGAGGUAGAGAGUUAUAAAAUGGACAAGUUUGAGAUAGAGAGAAGCGAUAGUCGAAGGGGAAAAAGGAAAAAGAGGGGAGAAGAGGCAAAAUACACGCAGUUAACGAAUGGGGUGGAAAGAGGAAGAACAUGAUAAGAGGUAGAGAACUGAUGAUAGAAAGGAAUAAGAGAGAGAGAGGAGUGGAGAGGAGAGGAGGUAAAGUAGACUAAGUUAAUAGAAAAGGGGAAAAAAGGGGUAGCAAACCGUAUGAAGGGGAAACAGGCGACACACACUUAAUGGAGUAGGCUCAAAAUGGGUAGCCACGUGAUGGGGUAAUGGGACCAAGAACUAUAAGGAGACGGUAAAUGGGUCAUACAGUUAAUGAUAGGAGGGGGCGAAGGACCGUACCCUCACACACACGGGCUAAUGCAAGGAGUCGGGAGUAAUGGAGGGUGACAUUAGGGGCUAUAAAAGAUGACCUCGAAUGGGUGGGCGGCCGGGUCAAGAAAGUGGACUUGGUUUAUGAGAGGUCAGAGGAGAGAGGAGUAGGAAGAGGAGGAGGAAUAAGGAAUCAGAUGUAGAUGCAAAGAGGAGAAGGAGGAGGAAGAAGAGGAGGGAGAGGGGAGAGGUAGAAGGGGGAGAUAGAAGUAGAGAGAAAAGGAAAUUGAUAGAAAGAAACAAUGAGAAAUCUGAUAAAAUAAAGGAAGAUUAGAAAGAAACGAUAAAAAAACGAAUAAAAA